ACUGUGAUUUGAUUGUACCUUUCUGAUUAUUUAAAAGGUUUAUUUUACAAACUGUACUGGAAGAUAAGGCGUAUUGAGGAGAAAAUGUGCCAAACCAUUCUCUUGAUUGUAAACUCUGUCUUUGAAAGCAGAGUCUAUAGUUGUCCUACCUCAUGUUCAUGCUGGAAUUGGAAAAAUGAUUGCACAAAUACAAAUCUAUCAACAUUCCCGUCUAAUAUUCAACAUUCAACAAGAACUUCUUUUACAGAAGUUACUAUUGAUACAUCGUGUGGACUCGGCAUUUUUCUCAUCCUCAGUUGCAGUAUUGCGUGCUUUUGUUUACACAAAAAUGUGAAAAAAACAACAUAUCUUAACAAAAUUUUUGGAAUCAGCCAAAAUAUAGAUGUAAAAACCGUGAGGCUCUCGUUGAUGAUGACGUUGAAAAAAGCCAAAAUGAUUCAACAAAAAUUAAAAUAGGUCUUGAAUAUGAAGCUGAGUUUGAGAUGUCAUAUUUCAUUUUUUCAUCACCGGAAAAAGGGGGUCUUACUAAAAACGACAACCUAAGUAAUUUGUCAGAUCGGAUUUAUUACCAACCGAUGGUUAAUUGAAUCCAUACCAGCCAUUCUUGUUUACACUGCAGCAAUCGGAAAACAUUCAGGAGGAUUUUGAUGAAUUAGGUGAUCCCCUGAAGAGAACAGGACCAAUGUAUAUCUGAGACAAUCUCUUCAAAUAAAAAGACUGAACGAUUUUAGACAACUUUCAAGAUAUACCAGUGCACAGUGUUCAGAAGUUGUGGAUGAACAAAUCUAAAUAAAUGCAAAUUAAAAUAUGAAUGAGAAAAGUAAAUAAUGUACGAAAACUGUGUAGCACACAUUUCAUAAGACACAGUUCAAUAAUAAUUAAAAAGUGGCAAAAAGCGAAGAAGACUAACGAUGAAAUUAAGAAAAGGCAAAGAUAGAAAAUAGCGUUUUCUAAAUUAUCCGUUGAUGAAUUUUAAAUUAUUCAGAAACUAAUGAUUAAGGUUCCCUCUCCCUGAGGAAAGCUUUACCAUGCAGAAAUAUUAUUGGAAUCUAUCGGUAUGAGGACCUACUGAUCGUGCUUGAAGGAUAAAUUCACUUUAAAUGAAAUGCUUGUGCUGUAUACGCAUGCACAUUUUAUUGGUGGUGUUAAAUUAAAAACCAUGUCAAUUACCGGUAAGAUAAAACGACGGUUAUUCGUCUAUUUUCGCAUAAGAAUAAAGUGAAGUAGUCUUUUCAACCCAGACACAGUACGUGGUCAGUUUCCUUUCACUAACGUUGUAAAAAAGAAGCAGAAAACACAAAGGGAUCAUUCAGAAUCCAUAAAUAGAAGACAAAUUGACAACGACAUACAUGUAGCAAUUAUAGAAAAAAAAUUAAAAAAGAACGAUAUCCACAAACCACAACAUUAAAACUAAAGACUGAGCAUCCAACCCCACAAAAAUCCCUGGAGCGGAGGGAGACCCAGGUGCUCUGGAAGAGUUGGCCAUCUCUGUGGAAAUCAAAUACAGUUCGUUUUCCGUAAUCAUGAAAUGCACGGUGUAUAUGUUUUGCAAAGUGUAACUAAUUCUUUGCACGCACAGUCAACACUUCUUUAUUUAAAAUGAUAAUUCAUAUUGGUGCAUGUUCAUUUAGGGGACACUGUGUUUAAAUUUA